GUAGGGAAUCUUCCACAAUGGACGCAAGUCUGAUGGAGCAACGCCGCGUGAGUGAAGAAGGUUUUCGGAUCGUAAAGCUCUGUUGUUGGUGAAGAAGGAUAGAGGUAGUAACUGGCCUUUAUUUGACGGUAAUCAACCAGAAAGUCACGGCUAACUACGUGCCAGCAGCCGCGGUAAUACGUAGGUGGCAAGCGUUGUCCGGAUUUAUUGGGCGUAAAGCGAGUGCAGGCGGUUCAAUAAGUCUGAUGUGAAAGCCUUCGGCUCAACCGGAGAAUUGCAUCAGAAACUGUUGAACUUGAGUGCAGAAGAGGAGAGUGGAACUCCAUGUGUAGCGGUGGAAUGCGUAGAUAUAUGGAAGAACACCAGUGGCGAAGGCGGCUCUCUGGUCUGUAACUGACGCUGAGGCUCGAAAGCGUGGGGAGCAAACAGGAUUAGAUACCCUAGUAGUCC
rnacentral:rRNA from 1 species